UACGUAGGUGGCAAGCGUUGUCCGGAUUUACUGGGCGUAAAGAGCGCGCAGGCGGUCGUUCAAGUCGCGUGUGAAAGCCCCCGGCUCAACUGGGGAGGGUCACGCGAUACUGAUCGACUCGAAGGCAGGAGAGGGUAGUGGAAUUCCCGGUGUAGUGGUGAAAAGCGUAGAUAUCGGGAGGAACACCAGUGGCGAAGGCGACUACCUGGCCUGUUCUUGACGCUGAGGCGCGAAAGCUAGGGGAGCGAACAGG
rnacentral:rRNA from 1 species